rnacentral:rRNA from 1 species
AUCGAACCUGCCCCCUUCAGGAAUAGCCCAGAGAAAUUUGGAUUAAUGCCCCAUGGCACCACGGAGUCGCAUGACAUUGUGGUUAAAGAUUUAUCGGAAGGGGAUGGCGAUGCGUAUCAUUAGCUAGUUGGUAAGGUAACGGCUUACCAAGGCAACGAUGAUUAGGGGCCCUGAGAGGGGGAUCCCCCACACUGGUACUGAGACACGGACCAGACUCCUACGGGAGGCAGCAGUGAGGAAUAUUAGACAAUGGCCGGAAGUUGAUCCAGCCAUGCCGCGUGCAGGAUGACUGCCCUAUGGGUUGUAAACCGCUUUUAUACGGGAAGAAACCUCCCCACGUGUGGGGAGCUGACGGUACCGUAAGAAUAAGGACCGGCUAACUCCGUGCCAGCAGCCGCGGUAAUACGGAGGGUCCGAGCGUUAUCCGGAAUCAUUGGGUUUAAAGGGUCCGUAGCGGGCCUGUAAGUCAGGGGUGAAAGGCCACGGCUCAACCGUGGACUGCCCUUGAUACUGCAGGUCUUGAGUCGUUGUGGAGUUGCCGGAACAUGUGGUGUAGCGGUGAAAUGCAUAGAUAUCACAUAGAACACCGAUCGCGAAGCAGGUAACUAACAACGUACUGACGCUGAUGGACGAAAGCGUGGGGAGCGAACGGGAUUAGAUACCCCGGUAGUCCACGCCGUAAACGAUGGACACUAGCUGUCGGGACUUCGGUCUCGGCGGCCAAGCGAAAGUGAUAAGUGUCCCACCUGGGGAGUACGUUCGCAAGAAUGAAACUCAAAGGAAUUGACGGGGGCCCG